AGCGUACACGGUGGAUGCCCUGGCAGUCAGAGGCGAUGAAGGACGUGCUAAUCUGCGAAAAGCGCCGGUAAGGUGAUAUGAACCGUUAUAGCCGGCGAUGUCCGAAUGGGGAAACCCAGUGUGAUCCGUCACACUAUCUCAGCAUGAAUACAUAGUGCUGUGAGGCGAACCGGGGGAACUGAAACAUCUAAGUACCCCGAGGAAAAGAAAUCAACCGAGAUUCCCCCAGUAGCGGCGAGCGAACGGGGAACAGCCCAGAGCCUGAAUCAGCUUGUGUGUCAGUGGAACGGUCUGGAAAGGCCGGCGAUACAGGGUGACAGCCCCGUACACGAAGGCACACAGGCUGUGAGCUCGAUGAGUAGGGCGGGACACGUGAUAUCCUGUCUGAAGAUGGGGGGACCAUCCUCCAAGGCUAAAUACUCCUGACUGACCGAUAGUGAACCAGUACCGUGAGGGAAAGGCGAAAAGAACCCCGGCGAGGGGAGUGAAACAGAACCUGAAACCGUGUACGUACAAGCAGUGGGAGCCUUCGUAAGAGGGUGACUGCGUACCUUUUGUAUAAUGGGUCAGCGACUUAUAUUCUGUAGCAAGGUUAACCGCAUAGGGGAGCCGAAGGGAAACCGAGUCUUAAUUGGGCGUUAAGUUGCAGGGUAUAGACCCGAAACCCGGUGAUCUAGCCAUGGGCAGGUUGAAGGUUGGGUAACACUAACUGGAGGACCGAACCGACUAAUGUUGAAAAAUUAGCGGAUGACCUGUGGCUGGGGGUGAAAGGCCAAUCAAACCGGGAGAUAGCUGGUUCUCCCCGAAAGCUAUUUAGGUAGCGCCUCGUGAAUUCAUCUUCGGGGGUAGAGCACUGUUUCGGCUAGGGGGCCAUCCCGGCUUACCAACCCGAUGCAAACUACGAAUACCGAAGAAUGUUAUCACGGGAGACACACGGCGGGUGCUAACGUCCGUCGUGAAGAGGGAAACAACCCAGACCGCCAGCUAAGGUCCCAAAGUCAUGGUUAAGUGGGAAACGAUGUGGGAAGGCACAGACAGCCAGGAUGUUGGCUUAGAAGCAGCCAUCAUUUAAAGAAAGCGUAAUAGCUCACUGGUCGAGUCGGCCUGCGCGGAAGAUGUAACGGGGCUAAACCAUGCACCGAAGCUGCGGCAGCGACACUAUGUGUUGUUGGGUAGGGGAGCGUUCUGUAAGCCUGUGAAGGUGUGCUGUGAGGCAUGCUGGAGGUAUCAGAAGUGCGAAUGCUGACAUAAGUAACGAUAAAGCGGGUGAAAAGCCCGCUCGCCGGAAGACCAAGGGUUCCUGUCCAACGUUAAUCGGGGCAGGGUGAGUCGACCCCUAAGGCGAGGCCGAAAGGCGUAGUCGAUGGGAAACAGGUUAAUAUUCCUGUACUUGGUGUUACUGCGAAGGGGGGACGGAGAAGGCUAUGUUGGCCGGGCGACGGUUGUCCCGGUUUAAGCGUGUAGGUGUGUGUUCCAGGUAAAUCCGGUUCACUUUAACACUGAGGCGUGAUGACGAGGCACUACGGUGCUGAAGUAACAAAUGCCCUGCUUCCAGGAAAAGCCUCUAAGCAUCAGGUAACAUCAAAUCGUACCCCAAACCGACACAGGUGGUCAGGUAGAGAAUACCAAGGCGCUUGAGAGAACUCGGGUGAAGGAACUAGGCAAAAUGGUGCCGUAACUUCGGGAGAAGGCACGCUGACAUGUAGGUGAAGCCCCUGCGGGUGGAGCUGAAGUCAGUCGAAGAUACCAGCUGGCUGCAACUGUUUAUUAAAAACACAGCACUGUGCAAACACGAAAGUGGACGUAUACGGUGUGACGCCUGCCCGGUGCCGGAAGGUUAAUUGAUGGGGUUAUCGCAAGAGAAGCUCCUGAUCGAAGCCCCGGUAAACGGCGGCCGUAACUAUAACGGUCCUAAGGUAGCGAAAUUCCUUGUCGGGUAAGUUCCGACCUGCACGAAUGGCGUAAUGAUGGCCAGGCUGUCUCCACCCGAGACUCAGUGAAAUUGAACUCGCUGUGAAGAUGCAGUGUACCCGCGGCAAGACGGAAAGACCCCGUGAACCUUUACUACAGCUUGACACUGAACAUUGAGCCUUGAUGUGUAGGAUAGGUGGGAGGCUUUGAAGCGUGGACGCCAGUCUGCGUGGAGCCAACCUUGAA
rnacentral:rRNA from 1 species